AACGAACGCUGGCGGCAUGCCUAACACAUGCCAGUCGAACGAGACCUUCGGGUCUAGUGGCGCACGGGUGCGUAACGCGUGGGAACCUGCCCUUAGGUUCGGAAUAACUCCCCGAAAGGGGUGCUAAUACCGGAUAAUGUCUUCGGACCAAAGAUUUAUCGCCCUUGGAUGGGCCCGCGUUGGAUUAGCUAGUUGGUAGGGUAAAAGCCUACCAAGGCGACGAUCCAUAGCUGGUCUGAGAGGAUGAUCAGCCACACUGGGACUGAGACACGGCCCAGACUCCUACGGGAGGCAGGAGUGGGGAAUAUUGGACAAUGGGCGAAAGCCUGAUCCAGCAAUGCCGCGUGAGUGAUGAAGGCCGUAGGGUUGUAAAGCUCGUUUACCCGGGAUGAUAAUGACAGUACCGGGAGAAUAAGCGCCGGCUAACUCCGUG
rnacentral:rRNA from 1 species